UAAGAAUUUAAAAGUCGAACAGACUUAUUUUCAAGAUUUCUGCUCCUUAAAAUUUUCUUAAUUCAACAUCGAGGUCGCAAAAUACAAUAUAGAUGUGAACUCCCCAUUUAAAUUACGCUGUUAUCCCUAAGGUAACUUAAUCUUUUUAUCCUUUUACUUAAGGAUCAUAAAAUACAUAAAUAAAUGAAUAUAAAAACUAAAGUUAAAUAUUUAACCACCACCCCAGUAAAAUAUAAAAUUAUGAAUUAAAAAGUACUGUCAUAAUAAACCUUCAUUAAUCAUAUUUAUAUAAAGUUCUAUAGGGUCUUAUCGUCCCAAUAAAAUAUUAGAGCAUUUUAACUCUAAAUUUAAAUUUUAAUAUUUAAAGAAAUAAAACAUAAUUCUCAUACAUCCAUUCAUACAAGCUUUCAAUUAAAAAACUAAUUACUAUGCUACCUUUGCACAGUCAAAAUACUGCAGCCAUUUAGAAAUUUUUACCAUAGGGCAGAAGAUACUUUUUAUAACAUCA
rnacentral:rRNA from 1 species